rnacentral:rRNA from 1 species
GACGAACGCUGGCGGCGUGCUUAACACAUGCAAGUCGAGCGGAGCGGCGAACGGGUGAGUAACGCGUGAGUAACUGCACCCCUCUCUGGGAUAACAGUUGGAAACGGCUGCUAAUACCGGAUAGUGUGGGCUGACUCGCGUCCUAUCAGCUUGUUGGUGGGGUAGUGGCCUCCCAAGGCGACGACGGGUAGCCGGCCUGAGAGAGCGACCGGCCCCAUUGGGCUAGGAUACGGCCCAAACUCCUACGGGAGGCAGCAGUGGGGAAUAUUGCACAAGGGGGGAAACCCUGAUGCAGCAACGCCGCGGGCGUGAUGACGGCCUUCGGGUUGUAAACCGCUUUCAGCCAUGACGCGGUAGUGGCAGAAGAAGCACCGGCUAACUACGUGCCAGCAGCCGCGGUAAUUC